CCUACGGGUGGCAGCAGUCGAGAAUCAUUCACAAUGGGGGAAACCCUGAUGGUGCGACGCCGCGUGGGGGAAUGAAGGUCUUCGGAUUGUAAACCCCUGUCAUGUGGGAGCAAAUUAAAAAGAUAGUACCACAAGAGGAAGAGACGGCUAACUCUGUGCCAGCAGCCGCGGUAAUACAGAGGUCUCAAGCGUUGUUCGGAAUCACUGGGCGUAAAUCGGGCGUAGGCUGUUUCGUAAGUCGUGUGUGAAAGGCGCGGGCUCAACCCGCGGACGGCACAUGAUACUGCGAGACUAGAGUAAUGGAGAGGGAAGCGGAAGUCUCGGUGUAGCAGUGAAAUGCGUAGAUAUCGAGAGGAACACUCGUGGCGAAGGCGGGUUCCUGGACAUUAACUGACGCUGAGGCACGAAGGCCAGGGGAGCGAAAGGGAUUAGAUACCCGAGUAGUC
rnacentral:rRNA from 1 species